rnacentral:lncRNA from 1 species
AGCACUGGGACUAUCUGAAGUCUCUGGAAGAAGCUGCAGGAAAUCCAGUUCUAUCAGAUUUCGCUUCAAAAAUUUUGGACCUUUGUUACUAGGUACAUAAACAUCUGAGGUGUUUAUUGGAGCUCUUUGCCUAGAACUGAUAAUUGGAUUCAUGGUAUUCUGGAGAACAAGGAAGAAAACUGAAGCCCAGAAAGCUUAAUAUAUUACCCAAAGAGUUAGUCCACAUUGAACUGGGAGUUAAUCCUUGUCUGUCUGGCUGGAAAGCUUUUGCUCUGUAUCUUGGAUGAAUAAACUAAACCUUAGGGAAUCUUCCUAGAAGAAACCAUAUAACGCCUCCUGUACGAGAAGUUAAAUUACAACACAAAGAUUGCUUGGUGAGCAUGUGAUCAAAACAGGGCAAGAUGAAGACCUUUAGAGGCCACAAGCAUUUUAGUGUGCCUCCCAACUUCCCUUAUAUUAUUCAAAAUAUAAACAAUAAAAUCUACAAAGAUGUGAAAGAAGUCCAA